UGCUACUGCCCUACAAUCACCAUACGUGGUACAACCGUCAAUCAAAUUUUCAGCGUCUUCAUCUGUAGCAAAGCAAGUUUUGGCAUAUGCAUUGGACGAUACACGUGAUGAAAGCCAAAUAUUAUGUUCCAUGCACAAUUUCUUCUUGACAAGGUUUGACUUGAAAUGCUUGGGACCCGACAAAUUGGUUGACAAUAAGGUAUUCAUAUUUAGUUAUGUGAAGUUAGGAUAAAAUUACUCUAAAACUAUAUAUCUAAUUUUCAUUAAUUUACAUGAAGGUUGUAACCAUGCAUUGUCGAAUUUUGAAUGGUAUGGAUAAAGAAAAUAGGAAGCAUUUCUUAUCUCCAAACUUUGUGUCUGAUGUGGAAAACAAGAGGGGUUCCUUAUCUCCAAAAUACAUAUGUGACAAUUUAUGGAAAUAUUUCAAAAAUACUCGGUUGUGCACAUAUGAACAGUUGUUCAUACCAAUAUGCAGGAAAAAUCACUGGUAUUUAAUCAUUUUGAAUAUUCAUGCGAAAAGAAUCGAGUUGUUGGAUUCAUUAAUUGACGGAAGGAAAAAACGGAUGGAUGCCUUCAUAGAGAAACUAGUAAAUAUAGUUAUAGUCCAAUUACUUAUGUGAAUCGUUGUCAUUAUUUUUUAAAGAUGUCCAUAUUUAUAAUUGUAUAUUGUGUUAAGGUGAACGUUUUGUCAACUGUCAUUGGGAUUCAAGAAAGAAGACCAUCAGUGGACAUGACAGAAUUUGAAUUUGUUGUUCCAGAAGUUGUCCAACAAUUGAAUCCAACGGAUUGUGGCAUAUUUGUAAUCAAGUUUAUGCAAUUAUGGAGUAACGGUGGACUUUCUCGUGCAAUUGCAAAUGACAAGGUCAUAAAGUACAGGGAAAAACUCCUAACACAACUGAUAAUGUCUCCAGAAAAUGAAGUCAGGGAAAAUGUAUACCAGGCUAUGGAUCAGUGAUGUUGUAAUUUUUUUGGUUUAUAGUU